rnacentral:rRNA from 1 species
CAGUCUGCAACUCGAGUGCAUGAAGCUGGAAUCGCUAGUAAUCGCGGAUCAGAAUGCCGCGGUGAAUACGUUCCCGGGUCUUGUACACACCGCCCGUCACACCAUGGGAGUCGGGAAUGCCCGAAGCCGGUGGCCCAAUCGUAAGAAGGGAGCCGUCGAAGGCAGGCCGGAUGACUGGGGUGAAGUCGUAACAAGGUAAC